GACGAACGCUGGCGGCGUGCUUAACACAUGCAAGUCGAACGGAAAGGCCCUGCUUUUGUGGGGUGCUCGAGUGGCGAACGGGUGAGUAACACGUGAGUAACCUGCCCUUGACUUUGGGAUAACUUCAGGAAACUGGGGCUAAUACCGGAUAGGAGCUCCUGCUGCAUGGUGGGGGUUGGAAAGUUUCGGCGGUUGGGGAUGGACUCGCGGCUUAUCAGCUUGUUGGUGGGGUAGUGGCUUACCAAGGCUUUGACGGGUAGCCGGCCUGAGAGGGUGACCGGCCACAUUGGGACUGAGAUACGGCCCAGACUCCUACGGGAGGCAGCAGUGGGGAAUAUUGCACAAUGGGCGGAAGCCUGAUGCAGCAACGCCGCGUGCGGGAUGACGGCCUUCGGGUUGUAAACCGCUUUCGCCUGUGACGAAGCGUGAGUGACGGUAAUGGGUAAAGAAGCACCGGCUAACUACGUGCCAGCAGCCGCGGUGAUACGUAGGGUGCGAGCGUUGUCCGGAUUUAUUGGGCGUAAAGGGCUCGUAGGUGGUUGAUCGCGUCGGAAGUGUAAUCUUGGGGCUUAACCCUGAGCGUGCUUUCGAUACGGGUUGACUUGAGGAAGGUAGGGGAGAAUGGAAUUCCUGGUGGAGCGGUGGAAUGCGCAGAUAUCAAGAGGAACACCAGUGGCGAAGGCGGUUCUCUGGGCCUUUCCUGACGCUGAGGAGCGAAAGCGUGGGGAGCGAACAGGCUUAGAAACCCUGGUAGUCCACGCUGUAAAAGGUGGGUACUAGGUGUGGGGUCCAUUCCACGGGUUCCGUGCCGUAGCUAAAGCUAUAAGUACCCCGCCUGGGGAGUACCGGCCGCAAGGCUAAAACUCAAAGGAAUUGACGGGGCCCCGCACAAGCGGCGGAGCAUGCGGAUUAAUUCGAUGCAACGCGUAGAACCUUACCUGGGUUUGACAUGGAUCGGGAGUGCCCAGAGAUGGGUGUGCCUCUUUUGGGGUCGGUUCACAGGUGGUGCAUGCCUGUCGUCAGCUCGUGUCGUGAGAUGUUGGGUUAAGUCCCGCAACGAGCGCAACCCUUGUUCACUGUUGCCAGCACGUUAUGGUGGGGACUCAGUGGAGACCGCCGGGGUCAACUCGGAGGAAGGUGGGGAUGACGUCAAGUCAUCAUGCCCCUUAUGUCCAGGGCUUCACGCAUGCUACAAUGGCUGGUACAGAGAGUGGCGAGCCUGUGAGGGUGAGCGAAUCUCGGAAAGCCGGUCUCAGUUCGGAUUGGGGUCUGCAACUCGACCUCAUGAAGUCGGAGUCGCUAGUAAUCGCAGAUCAGCAACGCUGCGGUGAAUAAGUUCCCGGGGCU
rnacentral:rRNA from 1 species